rnacentral:rRNA from 1 species
UACGUAGGGUGCAAGCGUUGUCCGGAAUUAUUGGGCGUAAAGAGCUCGUAGGCGGUCUGUCACGUCGGCUGUGAAAUCCCGAGGCUCAACCUCGGGUCUGCAGUCGAUACGGGCAAACUAGAGUAUUGCAGGGGAGACUGGAAUUCCUGGUGUAGCGGUGGAAUGCGCAGAUAUCAGGAGGAACACCGGUGGCGAAGGCGGGUCUCUGGGCCGAUACUGACGCUGGAGGAGCGAAAGCGUGGGGAGCAACAGG